rnacentral:rRNA from 1 species
AGAGUUUGAUCCUGGCUCAGAACGANNNCUGGCGGCGCGUCUUAAGCAUGCAAGUCGAACGGCAAGAGAGAAGCUUGCUUCUCUCCUAGAGUGGCGGACUGGUGAGGAACACGUGGGUAAUCUACCCUUAAGAUGGGGAUAGCUGUUAGAAAUAGCAGGUAAUACCGAAUAGGCUCAGUGCUUCAUAAGAGGCGUUGAGGAAAGGGAGCUACGGCUCCGCUUGAGGAUGAGCUUGCGUCCCAUUAGCUAGUUGGUGAGGUAAAGGCCCACCAAGGCGACGAUGGGUAUCCGGCCUGAGAGGGUGAUCGGACACAUUGGGACUGAGAUACGGCCCAAACUCCUACGGGAGGCAGCAGCUAAGAAUAUUCCGCAAUGGACGAAAGUCUGACGGAGCGACGCCGCGUGGAUGAAGAAGGCUGAAAAGUUGUAAAAUCCUUUGUUGAUGAAGAAUAAGGGGAAGAGGGAAUGCUUCUCUGAUGACGGUAAUCAGCGAAUAAGCCCCGGCUAAUUACGUGCCAGCAGCCGCGGUAACACGUAAGGGGCGAGCGUUGUUCGGAAUUAUUGGGCGUAAAGGGCAUGUAGGCGGCUAUGUAAGCCUGA